rnacentral:rRNA from 1 species
UCCAGACUCCUACGGGAGGCAGCAGUGGGGAAUAUUGGACAAUGGGGGGAACCCUGAUGCAGCGACGCCGCGUGAGUGAAGAAGUAUUUCGGUAUGUAAAGCUCUAUCAGCAGGGAAGAAAUAGCGACCUUUGGGUCGCCAGACGGUACCUGACUAAGAAGCCCCGGCUAACUACGUGCCAGCAGCCGCGGUAAUAUGUAGGGGGCAAGCGUUAUCCGGAUUUACUGGGUGUAAAGGGAGCGUAGACGGCAGCACAAGUCUGAAGUGAAAUGCCGGGGCUUAACCCCGGAACUGCUUUGGAAACUGUGCAGCUAGAGUGCAGGAGAGGUAAGUGGAAUUCCUAGUGUAGCGGUGAAAUGCGUAGAUAUUAGGAGGAACACCAGUGGCGAAGGCGGCUUACUGGACUGUAACUGACGUUGAGGCUCGAAAGCGUGGGGAGCAAACAGGAUUAGAUCCCCUGGUA